UAUACACAUUACAUAUCUACAAUACGCAACAUAUCGACGAACGCAACGUCGCGACGCAUGGUGAAGUGGUGCUUUUGUAUAGCUCACACUCCACCGUCUUCUCCCAUCGCGCAAAAUACUUCUUCCCGGAGCCUUGACGGAGUAGCCCGCGAUGAACUAGAUGCAGACUCGGCCGACGGAGUUUCUACAUCUUCUUCGUACUGGGAUGAGGUUGCCCCGCAGCUCAGACUCCUUUUCAGCCCAGAGUUCGAGCAGGUACUCCUCAUCCUGGCUCCCCCACAGUUUCCUUUUUUUAUUUUUUUUCUUCCAUAUUCUGUAAAUAAAAAAACAAAAAGCAAUAAUUCUUAUUUCGUAAAGAUAAAUUGUAUAAAUAAUAUUACUUACCACGGCCAAAUUGUUUUGAUUGUUUGAAUAUAUGUAUAAUUGUUUUGAACAAAAUUUCAAAAUAAAA